UUCUUAUCCAGAGCGGCGGAGGGACAAGGCCCGAUGAAGCCCGGCAACCAGUUCAUAUAAGCAGCAGUGUGUGAAUGGUUUGGUGCCAAUUCCUUCGGAACCUUUCGGUUCUGACAGAUGAGAA
rnacentral:ncRNA from 2 species